rnacentral:rRNA from 1 species
UACGUAGGGUGCGAGCGUUGUCCGGAAUUAUUGGGCGUAAAGAGCUUGUAGGCGGUUUGUCGCGUCUGCUGUGAAAAUCCGGGGCUCAACCCCGGACUUGCAGUGGGUACGGGCAGACUAGAGUGUGGUAGGGGAGACUGGAAUUCCUGGUGUAGCGGUGAAAUGCGCAGAUAUCAGGAGGAACACCGAUGGCGAAGGCAGGUCUCUGGGCCACUACUGACGCUGAGAGGCGAAAGCAUGGGGAGCGAACAGGAUUAGAUACCCG